GACGAACGCUGGUGGCGUGCUUAACACAUGCAAGUCGAACGGAAAGGCCCUGCUUUUGUGGGGUGCUCGAGUGGCGAACGGGUGAGUAACACGUGAGUAACCUGCCCUUGACUUUGGGAUAACUUCAGGAAACUGGGGCUAAUACCGGAUAGGAGCUCCUGCUGCAUGGUGGGGGUUGGAGAGUUUCGGCGGUUGGGGAUGGACUCGCGGCUUAUCAGCUUGUUGGUGGGGUAGUGGCUUACCAAGGCUUUGACGGGUAGCCGGCCUGAGAGGGUGACCGGCCACAUUGGGACUGAGAUACGGCCCAGACUCCUACGGGAGGCAGCAGUGGGGAAUAUUGCACAAUGGGCGGAAGCCUGAUGCAGCAACGCCGCGUGCGGGAUGACGGCCUUCGGGUUGUAAACCGCUUUCGCCUGUGACGAAGCGUGAGUGACGGUAAUGGGUAAAGAAGCACCGGCUAACUACGUGCCAGCAGCCGCGGUGAUACGUAGGGUGCGAGCGUUGUCCGGAUUUAUUGGGCGUAAAGGGCUCGUAGGUGGUUGAUCGCGUCGGAAGUGUAAUCUUGGGGCUUAACCCUGAGCGUGCUUUCGAUACGGGUUGACUUGAGGAAGGUAGGGGAGAAUGGAAUUCCUGGUGGAGCGGUGGAAUGCGCAGAUAUCAGGAGGAACACCAGUGGCGAAGGCGGUUCUCUGGGCCUUUCCUGACGCUGAGGAGCGAAAGCGUGGGGAGCGAACAGGCUUAGAUACCCUGGUAGUCCACGCUGUAAACGGUGGGUACUAGGUGUGGGGUCCAUUCCACGGGUUCCGUGCCGUAGCUAACGCUUUAAGUACCCCGCCUGGGGAGUACGGCCGCAAGGCUAAAACUCAAAGGAAUUGAUGGGGCCCCGCACAAGCGGCGGAGCAUGCGGAUUAAUUCGAUGCAACGCGUAGAACCUUACCUGGGUUUGACAUGGAUCGGGAGUGCUCAGAGAUGGGUGUGCCUCUUUUGGGGUCGGUUCACAGGUGGUGCAUGCCUGUCGUCAGCUCGUGUCGUGAGAUGUUGGGUUAAGUCCCGCAACGAGCGCAACCCUUGUUCACUGUUGCCAGCACGUUAUGGUGGGGACUCAGUGGAGACCGCCGGGGUCAGCUCGGAGGAAGGUGGGGAUGACGUCAAGUCAUCAUGCCCCUUAUGUCCAGGGCUUCACGCAUGCUACAAUGGCUGGUACAGAGAGUGGCGAGCCUGUGAGGGUGAGCGAAUCUCGGAAAGCCGGUCUCAGUUCGGAUUGGGGUCUGCAACUCGACCUCAUGAAGUCGGAGUCGCUAGUAAUCGCAGAUCAGCAACGCUGCGGUGAAUACGUUCCCGGGGCU
rnacentral:rRNA from 1 species